rnacentral:rRNA from 1 species
GACGAACGCUGGCGGCGUGCUUAACACAUGCAAGUCGAACGGACAGGCCCGACUUUUGUUGUGUGCUCGAUUGCCGCACGGGUGAGUAACACGUGAGUAACCUGCCCUUGACUUUGGGAUAUAUUUAGGAAACUGGGGCUCAUACCGCGUAGAAUCUCCUGCUCCGUGGGGGUCGAUGGAAAGUUUCGGCGGUUGGGGAUGGACUCGAGGCUUAUCCGCUUCUUUGGCGGGUAGGGGCUGACGAAGGCUAUGACGGGUAGCCCGCCUGGGAGGGGGACCGGGCACAUGGGGACUGAGAUACGGCCCAGAAGCCUACGUGAGGCAGCAGUGGAAAAUAUUGCACAAUGAGCGGAAGUGAGAGGCAGCAACGCCGCGUGCGGGAUGACCGGCUUCGGGUUGUAAACAGAUUUCGCAUGUGAUGAACAGUGAGUGACGGUAAUGGGUCAAGAAGCAACGGCUAACUACGUG